UGAGGAAUAUUGCGCAAUGGACGAAAGUCUGACGCAGCGACGCCGCGUGGAGGAUGAAGGUCUUCGGAUUGUAAACUUCUGUUAAGUGGGACGAAAGUGGUGGCAAUAAUACGGCCACUAGAUGACGGUACCACUAGAGAAAGCACUGGCUAAUCUCGUGCCAGCAGCCGCGGUAAUACGAGAGGUGCAAGCGUUAUUCGGAAUUAUUGGGCGUAAAGGGUGCGCAGGCGGUUUAUUAAGUCAAUUGUUUAAUUCCUCGGCCUAACUGAGGAUCAGCGGUAGAAACUGAUAAACUAGAGUAUGAGAGAGAGAAGCGGAAUUCUCGGAGUAGCGGUAAAAUGCGUAGAUCUCGAGAGGAACACCGAUGGCGAAGGCAGCUUCUUGGCUCAUUACUGACGCUCAUGCACGAAAGCGUGGGGAGCAAACAGGAUUAGAUACCCCCGUAGUCC
rnacentral:rRNA from 1 species